GAUGAACGCUGGCGGCGUGCCUAAUACAUGCCAGUCGAACGAACAGACGAGGAGCUUGCUCCUCUGACGUUAGCGGCGGACGGGAGAGUAACACUUGGAUAACCUACCUAUAAGACUGGGAUAACUUCGGGAAACCGGAGCUAAUACCGGAUAAUAUAUUGCACCUCAUGGUUCAAUCGUGAAAGACGGUUUUUCUGUCACUUAUAGAUGGAUCCGCUCCGCAUUAGCUAGUUGGUAAGGUAACGGAUUACCAAGGCAACGAUGCGUAGCCGACCCAAGCGGAUGAUCAGCAACAGUGCAGCUGAGACACCGUCCAGACUUGGAAGUGAGGCAGCGGCAGGGAUCCUACGGGAAGGAGCGGAAGCGUGACGGAGCAAAGGGGCGAGAGUGAGGAAGGGCCACGGAUCGUAAAUCAUUGUUAUUAGAGAAGAACAAAUGUGUAAGUACGGAGACGAGUAUGAACGGAACCGGAGCAGAAGGCCACGGCUACCUAGGG
rnacentral:rRNA from 1 species